CUGGAAAAGAGGCUUCGGACCAUCUCUCUGAAUGAGGACAACAGGUUGUGCCUGAUCUGUUAUGAAGACAUGCGAAAGAAUGGAGCAGGCACCCAGGAGCUGCACUGCACACACCGCUUCCACAAAGAGUGCAUGGAGCAGUGGUUGUGGAGGAAGCAGACGUGUCCCACCUGUCGCGUGUGUGUGUCUAUGGCCAAACCUCUGUACUGGACCUCCUCUCGCACCUUCGUCCCAUAACGCUCCUGUCCCACUGUAUGCCUCACCUAUGAACUCUUGACUCUCCACCUGUCACAGAAAAACCCUGCAUGAAUUGCCACAUCACACAGUGAAGUUGAUAUUCACAAUUUACAUUAUACCUGUUUCUUUAUUAUAGCAUUUUGAUUAUUUUAUCAUUGCCCGUUUCAUUUGGAUAUUUAUCUAUGCUUUAACUAUUGACCCA
ensembl:lncRNA